GCCUGGGUGGCUCAUUCAGUUGAGCGUUCGACUUCGGCUCAGGUCAUGAUCUCGUGGUUCGUGGGUUCGAGUCCCGCGUCGGGCU
rnacentral:tRNA from 1 species